GUCUCUUCGGGGAUGAUUAAACCGGCGCACGGGUGAGUAACACGUGAGUGACCUGCCUUUUAGACUGGAACAACUUACCGAAAGGUGAGCUAAUGCCGGAUGAGUUAUAUAAGUCCAUGUUUAUAUAGGAAAAGUUGGGGAGACCUGACGCUGAAAGAUGGACUCGCGUCCCAUUAGCUAGUUGGUAGGGUAAUGGCCUACCAAGGCGACGAUGGGUAGCCGGCCUGAGAGGGUGGCCGGCCACACUGGGACUGAGACACGGCCCAGACUCCUACGGGAGGCAGCAGUGGGGAAUUUUGCGCAAUGCUCGUAAGAGUGACGCAGCGACGCCGCGUGAAUGACGAAGGCCUUCGGGUCGUAAAGUUCUUUCGACAGGGAAGAAAAUGCCUAUAAGUAACUGUGUAUGUAUUGACGGUACCUGUAUAAGCAGCCCCGGCUAACUCCGUGCCAGCAGCCGCGGUAAUACGGAGGGGGCGAGCGUUGUUCGGAGUGACUGGGCGUAAAGAGCACGUAGGCGGUGUUGUAAGUCAUUAGUCAAAGACUAGAGCUCAACUUUAGUAAGGCUAGUGAUACUAUAAUACUAGAGUAUCAGAGAGGAUUGCAGAACUCCUGGUGUAGCGGUGAAAUGCGUAGAUAUCAGGAGGAAUACCGUUAGCGAAGGCGGCAAUCUGGCUGGAAACUGACGCUGAGGUGCGAAAGCGUGGGUAGCAAACAGGAUUAGAUACCCUGGUAGUCCACGCUGUAAACGAUGGAUGCUAGGUGUUGGGCUUUUAAGUUCAGUG
rnacentral:rRNA from 1 species